rnacentral:rRNA from 1 species
AACGAACGCUGGCGGCAGGCCUAACACAUGCAAGUCGAACGCCCAGUAACGGGAGUGGCGCACGGGUGCGUAACGCGUGGGAAUAUACCCUUAGGUACGGAACAACGUUUGGAAACGAACGCUAAUACCGUAUAAUGACUCCGGUCCAAGGAUUUAUCGCCUAAGGAUUAGCUCGCGUUAGAUUAGCUAGUUGGUGAGGUAAAGGCUCACCAAGGCGACGAUCUAUAGCUGGUCUGAGAGGAUGAUCAGCCACACUGGAACUGAGACACGGUCCAGACUCCUACGGGAGGCAGCAGUGAGGAAUAUUGGACAAUGGGCGAAAGCCUGAUCCAGCCAUGCCGCGUGAAUGAUGAAGGCCUUCGGGUUGUAAAGUUCUUUUAGAUGUGAAGAUAAUGACGGUAGCAUCAGAAAAAGCCCCGGCUAAAUUCGUGCCAGCAGCCGCCGUAA